rnacentral:rRNA from 1 species
GUUGCGUCAGAAGACGAGGAGGAGGAGGAGGAGGAGGAGGAGGGGGAGGGGUUCACCUUCGCGGCGGCGACGCGUGUGGGCGACGGGUGCGCGAUCGGGCCCGUGUACCUGGUCUUCGGCCGCCCGCGUUCGCCGGCGGAGCAGGAGGUGGAGGAGGAGGAUGCCGGCACGGCCACCGUGCGGGUGCCGCUGAGGCAGCUUCUCCUCGAGGAGCGGGGGUCAUCGUCGUCGUCGUCGGGGAAACGGCCGGACGACGACGAAGAAGAAGACGAGCUGGACGGGGUGCCGGCGGAGACCUACUGCCUGUGGUCGCCCGGGACCACGCCGUCGCCGUCUCCGUCCCCGUCGCCGUCGCGGUGCCAGAAGAGCGGGUCGACCGGGUCGGUCCUGCGGUGGCGCCAGCGGCUGCAGGUGGGGCGGAGCCACAGCGACGGCAAGGAGAAGUUCGUGUUCCUGCAGCCACAGCAGGACGCCGCCGGCUCCCCGGGCAGCAGGGGAGGGACGGGGACCGGCGAGCCGCGCGGCCGCGGAGGAGUCCACGGCUGGAGCCACCGCGGCAGAGGCGGGAGCGGCAGGGGAAGCCCCGGGCGCAGGGCGUCGACGUUCCUCCCGUACAAGCAGGACCUCCUCGGGCUCUUCGCCAACGCCGGCGCAUUCCGCCGGAGCUACCACCCCUUCUAA